UUGUCUGGCUGUUUACGAAGCUUACCAUAAGAUUUACUGUGACUCUCCAUGAGCAGAGCUUUUGCAGAUAACAAAGUCAUCGAAUUAGAUCCUACAUUGGCAAGAGUUUUCUUCCAAAAGGGUACUGAAACUAGGAAGAAUAUACUACUGCUAAAACAACACCAAAUGACACCAAGUUUAAGAGGAUGAUAGAUGAAUUUAAUCUUCGCAUUGUAGGGAAAAGAAAGAUUUGGUUCAACAGAUACCGCCAACAUAUUUCUUCAUCUUUCUUUUCGCUUCGGUACUUCCACGACACAUAUUAUAGAACAGUUAGGUUGAUGUGUUCGUAUUGCAAGAAACACAAUGAAAAAUUUCACGAACGAAAAGAUGAUGGUAGAAACGCUGACACCAAAGAAGUUGCUUAUUCUAGCUAGCUCUUCAGGAAGCUGAGAGAAAUGGAAAUAGCAUAUAUAUUAUCUGCCUUAUCCGUGAGUACACUUAUCGCUUCCACUCAAGUUCCCUUUGAUUAGUGUUCCAGACUUAGUUUGGGGCUUUAUGUUAACUGCUAUUAUCGGUUACAGGUGUGGGACUGUGGAGGAUUCGGAGGAUGAGGACCAUACUUCUCAGAUAGGUUCUUACAAUACUACUAAACCAUUUUUUAUCUUAGAGCUGAAAAACCUAUUUUUUUGCUUAACAAUAAGAACCUUUGUGCCUAUGUAUGUGAAAAUAACUACUGUCCAACCCCUUCUUUUGUUUAGUCAUGUGUUCUACGAAGUACAAGUUGUGAUAUAGACGGUCCCAUUAUCGAGGAGAUACGCCAUACAUGUUCCAUCUAUCUUUUAUGCUUCUGUCCUGGCAUUAGUUUGUUUUGUUUCCAUGAUCAGGUGGCUAAGCGUUGAUGCUUUUUGAUCAGGUGGCUAAGCAUUGACGCUCACUGCAGGUUUCAACUUUCAACUGAAUCGCUUUGGUUUACCCCAAAAAAGAGGUACUAGCUUAACUUUUUCCAAUGAGUGUUAUUAUCAUUAAGCCUUACGCUACAGCUCAGACUCAUCGAAUAUUCUUCUCUGUUUUAUAAGUACUACACUGUGUUCUUCAGUGUAUCAAGGAAAGAAAUCUACUCCCAGGUAUAUAUUUAAAUAUAUGGUUUCCGUUGCCAUUUAAAUAUAAUUCAUAUAGUUUUAAGCACACAACGCAUAUGCUAAUUUCAGAAGCUUUGCUGGAAACGUAAGUUUAAGAAGUAGAUAUACAUGUUUUAAACUUUUUUAUUAUGACUAUAGCUAUUGAUACAGUUCAUGGGCAGGGAGAUGGAAAUGAUAUGCCUGGAGUUGGAGCAGUUAAAACUGUGCCCUCCAUUGAUGGCACCAAGGACGUCCCUGCUGAGUUUAAUAGUGUUGAAGUCCAAGCUCACAGUGCAGACCUUCGUGAGGAUGUACGCACCGUCAAGAAACCCUGCAAUGGUUAGCUUCGCAUACAUGGGGUGUCCAAGCUCAAUGGCCAUUACUGCUCUUCCUUUUGUUUUGAAUUUACUUAGUUUCAUUAAACUGUUUAGAACUCUGUUCCUCUAAAAAUCCUUUUCUAUGUUUUUACGUUUUAGGAAUUUUUCAUUUUGCUUUGCUUUGUCAUUAAGAGCAAGAACUCUAUUGAGCUUUAUCUAAAUUUAUAAAACCCCAGUUAUGGAAGCUAAUUUUCCA